rfam:Capsicum annuum cultivar Zunla-1 chromosome 5, whole genome shotgun sequence
AAGGCAUCAAUGAUGAAUAAUCCAAUUUGUUAUCCUUGCACUUUGAUUGUUGAAUGAAGAUAAUGAUGGGGGAACAUUUCUGAGAUGCUU